UCGAGCGAAUCGANGGGAGCUUGCUCCCUGAGAUUAGCGGCGGACGGGUGAGUAACACGUGGGCAACCUGCCUAUAAGACUGGGAUAACUUCGGGAAACCGGAGCUAAUACCGGAUACGUUCUUUUCUCGCAUGAGAGAAGAUGGAAAGACGGUUUACGCUGUCACUUAUAGAUGGGCCCGCGGCGCAUUAGCUAGUUGGUGAGGUAAUGGCUCACCAAGGCGACGAUGCGUAGCCGACCUGAGAGGGUGAUCGGCCACACUGGGACUGAGACACGGCCCAGACUCCUACGGGAGGCAGCAGUAGGGAAUCUUCCGCAAUGGACGAAAGUCUGACGGAGCAACGCCGCGUGAACGAAGAAGGCCUUCGGGUCGUAAAGUUCUGUUGUUAGGGAAGAACAAGUACCAGAGUAACUGCUGGUACCUUGACGGUACCUAACCAGAAAGCCACGGCUAACUACGUGCCAGCAGCCGCGGUAAUACGUAGGUGGCAAGCGUUGUCCGGAAUUAUUGGGCGUAAAGCGCGCGCAGGUGGUUCCUUAAGUCUGAUGUGAAAGCCCACGGCUCAACCGUGGAGGGUCAUUGGAAACUGGGGAACUUGA
rnacentral:rRNA from 1 species